CCAGGGUGGUACUGCCCACACAGAGAAGAUCCCGGGGUCAGCAGUGCCAUGCCUUGCAGCCCCUGACCCCGUAGCAUUGGCAAAAAUGGAGAGCUGUCAGGGCAGAAAGCAGACCUUCAGACAGCAUCUCACUCUGUUGCUCAGGCUGGAAUACAGCGG